AGUGAACGCUGGCGGUAGGCCUAACACAUGCAAGUCGAACGGCAGCACAGUAAGAGCUUGCUCUUACGGGUGGCGAGUGGCGGACGGGUGAGGAAUACAUCGGAAUCUACUUUUUCGUGGGGGAUAACGUAGGGAAACUUACGCUAAUACCGCAUACGACCUACGGGUGAAAGCAGGGGAUCUUCGGACCUUGCGCGAUUGAAUGAGCCGAUGUCGGAUUAGCUAGUUGGCGGGGUAAAGGCCCACCAAGGCGACGAUCCGUAGCUGGUCUGAGAGGAUGAUCAGCCACACUGGAACUGAGACACGGUCCAGACUCCUACGGGAGGCAGCAGUGGGGAAUCUUGGACAAUGGGCGCAAGCCUGAUCCAGCCAUACCGCGUGAGUGAUGAAGGCUUUCGGGUUGUAAAGCCCUUUUGUUGGGAAAGAAAAGCAGCAGGUUAAUACCCCGCUGUUCUGACGGUACCCAAAGAAUAAGCACCGGCUAACUUCGUG
rnacentral:rRNA from 1 species